UAGUGAAUGGCAUAGUGGUUUGAGUGCUGGACUGUGACUCUGGAGACCAUGGUUCAAUUCCCCACUUAGUGU